rnacentral:rRNA from 1 species
AGUGAACGCUGGCGGUAGGCCUAACACAUGCCAGUCGAACGGCAGCACAGUAAGAGCUUGCUCUUACGGGUGGCGAGUGGCGGACGGGUGAGGAAUACAUCGGAAUCUACUUUUUCGUGGGGGAUAACGUAGGGAAACUUACGCUAAUACCGCAUACGACCUACGGGUGAAAGCAGGGGAUCUUCGGACCUUGCGCGAUUGAAUGAGCCGAUGUCGAAUUAGCUAGUUGGCGGGGUAAAGGCCCACCAAGGCGACGAUCCGUAGCUGGUCUGAGAGGAUGAUCAGCCACACUGGAACUGAGACACGGUCCAGACUCCUACGGGAGGCAGCAGUGGGGAAUAUUGGACAAUGGGCGCAAGCCUGAUCCAGCCAUACCGCGUGGGUGAAGAAGGCCUUCGGGUUGUAAAGCCCUUUUGUUGGGAAAGAAAAGCAGCAGGUUAAUACCCCGCUGUUCUGACGGUACCCAAAGAAUAAGCACCGGCUAACUUCGUG